rnacentral:rRNA from 1 species
UACGUAGGGGGCAAGCGUUGUCCGGAAUCAUUGGGCGUAAAGAGCGUGUAGGCGGCCAGGUAGGUCUGCUGUGAAAACUCGAGGCUUAACCUCGAGCUGUCGGCGGAAACCAUCUGGCUAGAGUCCGGAAGAGGAGAACGGAAUUCCCGGUGUAGCGGUGAAAUGCGCAGAUAUCGGGAAGAACACCCGUGGCGAAGGCGGUUCUCUGGGACGGUACUGACGCUGAGACGCGAAAGCGUGGGGAGCGAACAGG